UUUCGCAAUGCCCGAAAGGGUGACGAAGCGACGCCGCGUGAGCGAAGAAGGCCCUAGGGUUGUAAAGCUCUGUCAGGGGUUAUGAAAUGUAGACUAGCUAAUACCUGGUUUAUUUGACAAAGGCCCCAAAGGAAGCCACGGCUAACUCUGUGCCAGCAGCCGCGGUAAUACAGAGGUGGCAAGCGUUGUUCGGUAUUAUUGGGCGUAAAGAGCACGUAGGUGGUUUUGUAAGUCAGAUGUGAAAGCCUUCUGUUCAAAGGAAGAACGGCAUCUGAAACUGCAGAUCUUGAGUAUAGGAGGGGAGAGUGGAACUUCUGGUGGAGCGGUGAAAUGCGUAGAUAUCAGAAGGAACGUCGGCGGCGAAAGCGACUCUCUGGCCUAUUACUGACACUGAGUGUGCGAAAGUUAGGGGAGCAAACGGGAUUAGAUACCCCGGUAGUCCUAACCGUAAACGAUGGGCACUAAGUAGAGGGGUUUU
rnacentral:rRNA from 1 species